rfam:Populus trichocarpa isolate Nisqually-1 chromosome 7, whole genome shotgun sequence.
UAAUCUAUCUGCGGAGAUCCUCAUUUGGUUGUGACAGAUCUACAUUAAAUUGUUCAAAAUUACCUGUUAUCCCAAGUCUGACUGCAUCAUUGACACUGAAAAACUGAGGAAAAGUAUUGAAUGAACAAUAACUUUUUUAGAUUUUAAU